AAAAACAUCGCCUCUUGAACAGAUAUAAGAGGUCCAGCCUGCCCGGUGAUACAAUUUAACGGCCGCGGUAUACUGACCGUGCGAAGGUAGCAUAAUCACUUGUUCUUUAAAUGAGGACUAGUAUGAACGGCACCACGAGGGCUUUACUGUCUCCUCCCUUCAAUCAGUGAAACUGACCCCCCUGUGAAGAGGCAGGGAUACUACUAUAAGACGAGAAGACCCCAUGGAGCUUUAAACCCAACAACAGCCCAAACACCACCACCCCUAAAAGUUUUAACGGUAUUGCUAGUUGGUUUUAGGUUGGGGUGACCGCGGAGUAUAAACUAUCCUCCACGACGAACGGGCCUACCCCCUUACCCAAGAGCUACACCUCUAAGGAUUAACACAUUAACGUAAAAUGAUCCAAAUAUUUGAUCAACGAACCAAGUUACCCUGGGGAUAACAGCGCAAUCCAUUUUUAGAGCCCCUAUCGACAAAUGGGUUUACGACCUCGAUGUUGGAUCAGGGUAUCCAGGAGGUGCAGCCGCUUCCAAUGGUUUGUUUGUUCAACAAUUAAAACCCUAC
rnacentral:rRNA from 1 species